AUAUUAUUAGGCGGAGGAAAAGAAACUAACGAGGAUUUCCUUAGUAACGGCGAGUGAACAGGAAAUAGCCCAGCGCCGAAUCCCUCGGCGCCUAGCCGUUGGGACCUGUGGCGUGGAGGAAAGUCGCUCCGACGGCCGUAGUUUCGUAAGCUCCCUUGAUUGGGACCCCGUAGAGGGUGGAAGGCCCGUAACGAAACGUCGGUCGAAGGUAUGAUUUUCCCGAGAGUCGGGUUGCUUGAGAGUGCAGCCCAAAGCGGGUGGUAAACCCCAUCUAAGGCUAAAUAUUACCACGAGACCGAUAGCGCACAAGUA
rnacentral:rRNA from 1 species